UACGUAGGUGGCAAGCGUUGUCCGGAUUUAUUGGGUUUAAAGGGUGCGUAGGUGGUCUAUUAAGUCAGUGCUGAAAUAUCCCGGCUUAACCGGGAGGGUGGCAUUGAUACUGAUGGACUUGAGUGGAGUUGAGGUAGGCGGAAUAUGUCAUGUAGCGGUGAAAUGCUUAGAUAUGACAUAGAACACCGAUAGCGAAGGCAGCUUGCUACACAAUAAUUGACACUGAGGCACGAAAGCGUGGGGAUCAAACAGG
rnacentral:rRNA from 1 species